rnacentral:misc_RNA from 1 species
AAAUGUAAACAAAAAAACAAACACAAAAUUAAUGUUCGUCGCGCAAAAUAAAUCACCGAGGCAGUCAAACCAAACAAUAAUAAAGACAACCAACCUGAUAAAAAUAAGGCAAACAUAGUAUAGAUUCACACACAAAUCAGAAACAGGCACUAUACACACGAACACAAAUCAAAAAGCAAACAAGGCGGCUGUGCGGGGCAGAGGAUCCUUUCUUUGCUGUUUGAUAGGAAACCGAGGCACUGUUGUGCUUGCGUCCGCCACAAAAAUGGGCGCUUGUGUAUGUCGCAUGAAUCCCGACAACGAGACUAUGAGCGUCUCGUCGGCGAGCAUAUCGCGUCCACCCAGUGCAGGCAUUGCCUUGGGCGCGUCGCGCAAAAAUCGCCCACUCUGCCAUGAGACAAUACGCUGGCGUUCCGAUGUGCCAUUGACCGAGGGACAGCUGCGCUCAAAGCGGGACGAGUUCUGGGAUACGGCCCCGGCCUUUGAUGGUCGCAAAGAAAUCUGGGAUGCCCUGCGCGCCGCCACCAAUGCCGCCGAAGGGCUGGAUUUUCAAAUGGCCCAGGCCAUACUGGAUGGGGCCAACGUGUCAGUGCCAAAUGGCUACCUUACAGAGUGCUACGAUGAGCUGGGCACGCAGUACAAGGUGCCUAUAUACUGUCUGUCAUAUCCCAUUAAUAUCGUGAAGGAGGAGAAUGGACGAGACUCGCCCGCUGAAUACUCAGAGCCAGUGGAUGGCGGCACCGAGAUCUUUCUCAAGCUGCGCAUAUCAUCGAGCAUGACUGAUGUUAAACUGCCAGUAUACUCCAAGGAUACGGUGGGACAGUGCAAGAAGAAGUUGCAGGCUACGGAGGGUGUGGAUGCAUGUUGCCAGCGUUGGUUCUACAGUGGGAAACUGUUGGGCGACAAGGUGCCCAUCGACGAAUGCAGCAUACACCAGGGCUAUGUGGUCCAAGUGAUUAUCAAUACGGAGCACUACAACCACGACAAUAGCACGAGUACGGUGCACAUGUCGCUUGCGAGCUAGCGGCGCAAGCAACACAAACUAGUCAACAGCAAGCCACGACAGCAGCAGCAACAAGCACAGGAACAACAGGAGCAACACUCGCAGAAGGCGGAGGACGAGGCCAAAGGAAACAGAAUCAUGAAUAAUGUCAUAUACUCAAUCUGUCGCACAAAAAGCCCAAUCUGUGAUGAUGUACAGCGCAAAGGGAGACAGCAAAGGCUACAGCAACAGCAAACAUAUUGCAUUUAUCAAAAUCCGCAGCAAUUACAAAUUGUUGCUCUCUCUGCCUUGUUGUUAUUGUUGUUUAUAUGGCUGCUCGCCUUGUUAUGCUUUGUGUAAUAUAUUUAAAAACAAAAAAUCAAAUAACAAAAAAAAGAAACCACAAAAAAAUGAUAGAAAGGGAAAUUGCAAAGGGAAAAUGCUUAUAAUACAACAGAUUAAGGCAAUCUUUAUAAAGCAUAUAUAAUUUAUAUAUAAAUGAAGGCAGAGAGCAUUACUGAACUUCUCGAUUGAACAACUAGAAGCUGUACAUUUUUAUAUCGAAAUCAGCAACAACAAAAUUGAAGAGUAGAGCAAACCAUAAGCUAAUUAUUAACUAAUUGUAAGCAAGUGUUAGAGCAUUUGCCUAAUUCUAAUAUCUGAAGCAAAUUAGCUAAAAUCUGUAGUAUUUCGGCCGCAACAAAACCAAUCAAACCGAUUUUUUGAUACUGUACAAAAUGCCAAGCACAAUAAAAGAUUGUGAGAGAAAACCCGUAAGUAGAAACAAUACAAAACCAGAAAAAACAAUACAAAUAAUUGUUAAACAUC